UUCACCCGACCAGCGCGGCCGCUCGCCACUGAGCAAUGCCAGCAAGAAUGGAGCCACCUCGUUCUGAUUGUUAAGAUAUUAGCCUGCUGCGAUUGUUAAAAUAGUGAAUUCUUUUCAGUUGGCUCCGAGUAAUAACCCAAAAUCGUCCGUUCUUUUCCCGUGACUCGGCCUCAUAUGCAUAGCUAGGUUGCCGACGUUCACCCUCUCCAGUGUCAAUUGCCCUGCUGCCAAGUGCCAGGAAACAUGGAAGUUUGCAGCAGCAAGCUUCAAAAUCUUGACAUAACCUCAGAUGUGCCCCGAAAGAUGCACGAUGACACCAAGGAGGAAACAGACCCCGACGCCAUAUUUGAAAGGGACUACCUAGAAGAUGAUUAUGAGGAAUUGGAGCCUGAAGUGACCUUAGGUGUCUUGCGGAAACCAAAGGAACCCGGACACUUGCAUUCUCUUCUCCCCCAACACUUUCCCAGUAAAGCUGGCGGUGCCCCGGCCUGGCUUGAUCCUGUCAAUUUGCCAUCUGGAAAAUCCAGUUGCUGUGACUUCUGUAGUGACCCACUGCGUUUUGUCCUGCAG